rnacentral:lncRNA from 1 species
UUUUUCUUUUCUUUCUUUAUUUUUACAUUUUUUUUUCUUUUUUUCUUUUCUUUCAACCACUGCUUUUCCUUUCUCAUCAUCCUUCUUACUCUCACUCAACUUUUCUGUUUCUAUCUCCUCUAUCUUUUCCGCAGCAACAACUUUUUUUGUUUUUAUUUCCUCUUUCUUUUCUUCCUUUUUUUUCUCCUCAUAUAUCUCUAUCUCUUCUUCUUCUAUCUUUUCCUCCUCGACAACCUUAUCAUUUUUAGAGAUAGUGGCUUGAUAUUCUUCUUUAGGGUUAACUUCAGUAUUAUCCCUAAUAAUGCCCAGAGACUUCAAUACCUUUGUUAUCUCAUCUUCCUCUAUCUUCUCUUCAUCAAUAACCUUGUCAACCUCAAAGAUAGUGGCUUGACAUUCUUCUUUAGGGUUAACUUCAGUAUUAACCCUAAUAAUACCCAGAGACUUCAACGCACAAGAGUGUUGUUCCUGCAAUAAACGUUCUUCUGGUUCCUCCAACGUUUCUUUUGGCAAGGAGAAUAGUUUCUGCCGUAAACGUUCUUUAGCUUCCCCCAACGUUUCUUUUCGCGAAGAGGAAUGUUGCCCAAAUUGGNUAUGAUACAUGUUUGAAUGAGGUUCCCACCAGUGGUUGAAACUAUUUUGGUAGAAUUGAGUGCCUACAGAAUCAAAUUCUUGUCCAAACUGCAUUCUGCAAAAAU